GAUGUGCCAAUUCGUGGCCGAUGACAUGGGCUAUUCUUUGCUUUUCGGCACCGGAGGACCGCACUGGAUCAUACAGCAAUGCGGUUUCCCUAUUACCACAAAUAAAACAACUUGAGAAAAUAGGCUCAAAAACACGUUACCUUGAAGCUCCCACAAGCAGAGAUCCCCAAGGCGGACGUGAAACCACCGGUUAAGAAACAAAAACCAAGGCUAAAAAAGGAUACUGACCUGUAGGUGAUUAGCCCCCAGUUCUCCAUGCCACUAACGACGAAAUCCGGAAUGGCGAACAUGUCCAACUUGGGAAGCGGAAAACUGAUGUUGAAAUAA